GGGGGCGACACGGCUUCGACGGGGAUAGGCGAACUCGGGAUGCAUGCCGAGCACCAUCGACUCGUAAAUCCGAUGGGAAAAACCAUAACUGCGGAUUCGCAGCUCGCUCUCGCCGCUUAAAUAGCGACGACGUCCCCCUGCUUUUGCCUGCGGGGUGGGAUCGGAUGUCAUAUAGCAGGCUAGCCACCACCCGGGGCGUCGACGGGCUACGGCGAAAUUUUCUGACGCUCAGCCAUCAGUGGUUUUGGUCGCGUUUUUACGCAGAUGGCGAAACUUAAAGCGCGGACACGCAUGUAGAGUCCCGGGAGGACGUAUCUUCGGACGCGGGUUCGACUCCCGCCGCCUCCACCA
rnacentral:tmRNA from 1 species